CCUCUUGAGGACCCAAUGGCAUAGUGCAAGGAAGACACAGAAGGACUGGAUAAGGGGACCUAACCACAGGCGGAUCACCUCCAGGGCCUGACACCAUGGAUGCCUGAUUCCUGUUGCCCCAGCAAUUCUAUCAAUGAGGGUUAGGGAAGACAAAGGCACGAUUGGUCUGGAUUCGAGUUCCCUGCUGGGGGCACUCCUACAGCUGUUGUGUUAGCCCAUAGAAGCCCAGCUACUAGGAGGAUGUGUCCACAGGACUCCCAAAGAGAAAUCUGCACCUCACAGGAGACAGUGUCAUGAGUACACAGCAUCUCCUGUCCCCACCAGGCCUGGGUCUGAAUGCCAACACCUGGGGACUUACUUGGUUUUGCAGCACGCUUGUCACUGUGUUUGUAAGGAGGCCAGAUACACCAUCCAGUACGUUGUUGAUAAGGAUGUUUCGCCUGGAAAAGAAGGGACUUGCAAAGCUUGGUCAAGAAUUCGGCACGGCUGAGAGUCCUCAGAGGGUCAGCUGACGCACAACUCUGCUCUAUGUUCUCAUUUUUGUGGCCCAGUGGCCCAUGCCAGAAUAGACCAUCACUGAGCAUCAAAGCAUCAAAUGCCUAAUAGCUGCUUCCUCGGUAUCUGGUGCCCAUCACAGCCCUGACACAGCACCAUCCACUCAGCCUCUACUUACACAGCACUAGGAUGAGCCUUGGGACACUGGAAGCUGACGAGUACAGACCUCUACUGUUCCAAUGCACAGAUGUGCAAACUGAGACCUGGACAGAUGCAACUCCAGAGUGACAGAACUGAUAGCUGUGGCAGAGUUGAUAUUUGAGCCCCACGGAACCAUCCUGAUUCACGCCAUUCAGCUAAAGUGGUCGUUCUUCUCAGAUGGUGCGGGAGUCUCCUCAGC